CCUCCAUGGUUAGGGAAUUGCCAAAGAAUUUCAUUAAAUCUCUCCCAAACUUCAUAUAGAAGCUCUCCAUUGAGUUGACAGAAAUUUGUAAUUUCAUCUCAUAGUUG
rnacentral:snoRNA from 1 species